CCAGGCUUGGGCGUAUUUUCUCCGGUGAGCGUAGCUGCCUGUAGUCGUUAGCAGCUACGUUGUCCGCGGGAUUCUAGCCACCUGGCAAU
rnacentral:pre_miRNA from 15 species